rnacentral:rRNA from 1 species
UACGUAGGGGGCUAGCGUUGUCCGGAUUUAUUGGGCGUAAAGAGCUUGUAGGCGGUCUGGUAGGUCGGUUGUGAAAACUGGAGGCUCAACCUUCAGAGGUCGACCGAAACGCCCUGGCUAGAGUCCGGGAGAGGAGAGUGGAAUUCCUGGUGUAGCGGUGAAAUGCGCAGAUAUCAGGAAGAACACCCGUGGCGAAAGCGGCUCUCUGGAACGGUACUGACGCUGAGACGCGAAAGCGUGGGGAGCGAACAGG